AGGAAGGCUCUUCCUCACUCCAAGCACCGAAAACCAGUUGGAAAGGGAAACUGGACAACAAAAGCAUACUCUCUCUCAGCCUGAAUUCUUGAAUUAAACCUUGGUCAAAAGGGAUCAGAGUCACUGAAACUCAACCAAUCUGCAAAACUAAGGAUUUUUAAACCGAUUGGGAAACUACCGAGGUCAACACUACUGGUAAACUCCACUGCUACUGCUCAACUCAUCAAAACUCGCUUAUUUCUGAGUUUAUAUCAUAUAAAAGAUAAUAAGCUGUUUGAAGAAAGAAUAUCAUUUAUGAAAACACCGCAGAAAUGUUUCGAUUGGUUAUCUUUGGACCAUUUACUAGAUUCCGGCUUGCAGCCUGUACACUUUGAUGGUUACAAAAAGGGGCCCAGGAUGAUUUCUCACAUUUCAACACAUGUUUGGUCUUUUGGGAUAUGAUGAAUUGACCUUUGCUACAACUACCGGCAAUGAGACAUCAGGACCAUGUCUGAGUGCUGACUCAGCUCCACAUCCUAUCGUGCCUACCAACCAACCUUUACAGGAAGCAGCUAUCUCAUAGGUCACCACCACUUUUACCAUGUUAGACAUUAGCGAUGGAGGCUGGGUAAUGCAAGACACAUUCCCCAACGUGACCAGUCGAAAUUCUGAGGAGGCCUAGUAUGCAGGAGCAGUAGACAAACCCUACAGUUGCUGAUAGCAACGGGGACGAGAGGGCUAGUGGCUGAGACCUCACGAGACACAUGCCGAUCAGAGACAAUUGACCCUAGGAAUUGUACGGUCAAUAAUAACAAAGUUGUGAGGUGGAUGGGCAGCAACCUUGCCAUUUAUUGUUGACAUAAUUUAAAGAUCCUUCAACCUCCACCUUUCACUGUGCAAGUCCCUCCUUCAAUGUGCUGGUGUAUGGAACAGUUCAGGCAACACCAAUUGUGAUUAAUAUGUGGUAAUAGUAUUAUAUACUUUAUAAGGAAAGCUAAUGUGUCUUUAAAGUGACCUGAAGGAAUCUUAUAAAAUAGCUCCCAGAAGUCACAUGACUACCCAGGUCAGUGAUUUUGCAAAUUCCCUGGAAGUUAAUGUAAAAUUUUUAGUUUAAGGCUGCAGCAGUUCAGAAGCUACUAUCUGGGGAGGAAAAUGUAAUGGAUACAAUUGCUAUGAUCACUGUUAAAUUUAGAUCUGAGAUACUGUAAGAAGGAUUUCAUACGGAACUGACUGAUUAAAAUCUUGCACCUCAUGUAUAUGCAAUGGAAGCACAUUAGCUGUGACAUCACUACUCAAUGGAAGGUUUGUUUAGGGUGAUGGUUUGUUGAAUGUAGAAGUGUAUCAGUUCAUGUGAAGAGAACUUUUAUUAUUAAGUUAUACCUAAUGUCAUGAGUCAGUUCAAAUGUUGUGUCUAAGAAAUAAAUGCUUUCCUUACGUAUUGUUGCUUUAAACUUAACAAAGGAUUAAUAAUUAUUUAGCAUUUUGGUGAAUUCUUCUAAUUCUGCUUCCGUGUGACUCCAAAUAUAUUAACACAAAUACAAAAGAUAUUGUAAUCACAUAACUGUAUGACCUAACUAACGUGUUCAUGAGAAUGAUGAAGGAGCUCUUAAAGCCAAAAUGUGGCCACAAAAUCAAAACUAGUCUUCAAGAAAAUCUCAAGAGCCCUCAGAAAAGAAUAUUUCCUGGCCUGCCCAUACCUAGGCUAACAAAAUAACUAAUUUGUAAGUCUGACACAACAGUUUGUGGAUGGCAGUCAUUUUAAAUUUGGAUUUGUAAAAAAAAAAAAUCCGUGAGACCAUGAGAGAAUCUGCUUGAAGCAGUCAAUAGCGAGGUCAAGAGGGGGAUAUCCAGUCCUGCUGCACCAAACCAGGCUCCUGGGAGACACAGCCUGCUCUAAAUUCAAAACAUAGGAAUCUUCACUCAUUCCCAGAUCUAGUUCUGCUCAGUCCAUCUGUGGGAGCAAGCUCUGACUAUUUGAGUACAAAAACCAACAAAACUGGUAAAUUUUGGCUUUAAGUUUGCAACCCCUUCAGUUCAGAAAGAGAAUCUUCAAGCAAGCCAAGCCUGCAAAGACAGCAGAGACGAAUCUCAUUUUCAUAUACAAUUUUAUCCUUACUUUGUAUUUUUGUGAUUAACUUUAUUGAUUCGGGUGGCACGGUGGCUCAGUGGUUAGAACUGCUGCCUCACAGUACUAGGGAACUGGUCUGUCCAGUCUUGGGGACCAAGUUUGCACAUUCCCCCUGUUUCUGCUGGCUGCUCUGGUUUUCUCCCACAGUCCAAAGAUGUGCAGGUUGGAUGAAUUGGCCAUGCUAAAU